AGCAGCCGCGGUAAUUCCAGCUCCAAUAGCGUAUAUUAAAGUUGUUGCAGUUAAAAAGCUCGUAGUUGAAUUUCGGGAUUGACGUGAUGGUCGUGCCUUACGGGGUAUGAACUGUUGCAGUCAAUUUCUCACCUUCUGGAGAAAUAUGAUGUCCUUAAUUGGGUGUCAUAUGGAACCAGAACUUUUACCUUGAAAAAAUUAGAGUGUUUAAAGCAGGCUUAUUGCUCGAAUACAUUAGCAUGGAAUAAUAAAAUAGGACGGCAUGGUUCUAUUUUGUUGGUUUCUAGGAUCACCGUAAUGAUUAAUAGGGAUAGUUGGGGGCAUUAGUAUUCAAUUGUCAGAGGUGAAAUUCUUGGAUUUAUUGAAGACUAACUACUGCGAAAGCAUUUGCCAAGGAUGUUUUCAUUAAUCAAGAACGAAAGUUAGGGGAUCGAAGACGAUCAGAUACCGCCGUAGUCUUAACCAUAAACUAUGCCGACUAGGAAUCAGACGAUGUUAAUUUUUUC
rnacentral:misc_RNA from 1 species